rnacentral:rRNA from 1 species
ACUCCUACGGGAGGCAGCAGUAGGGAAUAUUGGACAAUGGGCGCAAGCCUGAUCCAGCCAUGCCGCGUGAGUGAAGAAGGCCCUCGGGUUGUAAAGCUCUUUUGUCCGGAAAGAAAAGCAUCGGGUUAAUACCCCGGUGUUCUGACGGUACCGGAAGAAUAAGCACCGGCUAACUUCGUG